rnacentral:rRNA from 1 species
AGAGUUUGAUCAUGGCUCAGAUUGAACGCUGGCGGCAGGCCUAACACAUGCAAGUCGAGCGGUAGCACAGAGAGCUUGCUCUCGGGUGACGAGCGGCGGACGGGUGAGUAAUGUCUGGGAAACUGCCUGAUGGAAGGGGAUAACUACUGGAAACGGUAGCUAAUACCGCAUAAUGUCGCAAGACCAAAGUGGGGGACCUUCGGGCCUCAUGCCAUCAGAUGUGCCCAGAUGGGAUUAGCUAGUAGGUGGGGUAACGGCUCACCUAGGCGACGAUCCCUAGCUGGUCUGAGAGGAUGACCAGCCACACUGGAACUGAGACACGGUCCAGACUCCUACGGGAGGCAGCAGUGGGGAAUAUUGCACAAUGGGCGCAAGCCUGAUGCAGCCAUGCCGCGUGUGUGAAGAAGGCCUUCGGGUUGUAAAGCACUUUCAGCGGGGAGGAAGGCGNCGAUUGACGUUACCCGCAGAAGAAGCACCGGCUAACUCCGUGCCAGCAGCCGCGGUAAUACGGAGGGUGCAAGCGUUAAUCGGAAUUACUGGGCGUAAAGCGCACGCAGGCGGUCUGUCAAGUCGGAUGUGAAAUCCCCGGGCUCAACCUGGGAACUGCAUUCGAAACUGGCAGGCUAGAGUCUUGUAGAGGGGGGUAGAAUUCCAGGUGUAGCGGUGAAAUGCGUAGAGAUCUGGAGGAAUACCGGUGGCGAAGGCGGCCCCCUGGACAAAGACUGACGCUCAGGUGCGAAAGCGUGGGGAGCAAACAGGAUUAGAUACCCUGGUAGUCCACGCCGUAAACGAUGUCGAUUUGGAGGUUGUGCCCUUGAGGCGUGGCUUCCGGAGCUAACGCGUUAAAUCGACCGCCUGGGGAGUACGGCCGCAAGGUUAAAACUCAAAUGAAUUGACGGGGGCCCGCACAAGCGGUGGAGCAUGUGGUUUAAUUCGAUGCAACGCGAAGAACCUUACCUGGUCUUGACAUCCACAGAACUUUCCAGAGAUGGAUUGGUGCCUUCGGGAACUGUGAGACAGGUGCUGCAUGGCUGUCGUCAGCUCGUGUUGUGAAAUGUUGGGUUAAGUCCCGCAACGAGCGCAACCCUUAUCCUUUGUUGCCAGCGGU